GCCAGGCGUGGUGGCGCGUGCCUGUAAUCCCAGCUACUCGGGAGGCUGAGGCAGGGGAAUCACUUGAACCUGGGAGGCAGAGAUUGCAGUGAGCCGAGAGAUCACGCCACUGCACUCCAGCCUGGCAACAGAGGGAGACUCCAUCUCAAAAAAAAAAGAAGCUUAGGUUAUUGAUUUCUGAUCUUUCUUCUUUUCUAUUUAUUUAUUUUUGAGGUGGAGUCUCACUCUUGUCGCCCAGGUUGGAGUGCAGUGGUGCAAUCUGGGCUCACUGCAACCUCUGCCCCUGGGUUCAAGGGAGUCUCCUGCCUCAG
rnacentral:SRP_RNA from 2 species